rnacentral:rRNA from 1 species
UAUUGGGCGUAAGCGCGCGCAGGUGGUUCCUUAAGUCUGAUGUGAAAGCCCACGGCUCAACGGUGGAGGGUCAUUGGAAACUGGGGAACUUGAGUGCAGAAGAGGAAAGUGGAAUUCCACGUGUAGCGGUGAAAUGCGUAGAGAUGUGGAGGAACACCAGUGGCGAAGGCGACUUUCUGGUCUGUAACUGACACUGAGGCGCGAAAGCGUGGGGAGCGAACAGGAUUAGAUACCCUGGUAGUCCACGCCGUAAACGAUGAGUGCUAAGUGUUAGAGGGUUUCCGCCCUUUAGUGCUGCAGCUAACGCAUUAAGCACUCCGCCUGGGGAGUACGGCCGCAAGGCUGAGACUCAAAGGAAUUGACGGGGGCCCGCACAAGCUGUGGAGCAUGUGGUUUAAUUCGAAGCAACGCGAAGAACCUUACCAGGUCUUGACAUCCUCUGACAACCCUAGAGAUAGGGCCUUCCCUUUCGGGGGACAGAGUGACAGGUGGUGCAUGGUUGUCGUCAGCUCGUGUCGUGAGAUGUUGGGUUAAGUCCCGCAACGAGCGCAACCCUUGAUCUUAGUUGCCAGCAUUCAGUUGGGCACUCUAAGGUGACUGCCGGUGACAAACCGGAGGAAGGUGGGGAUGACGUCAAAUCAUCAUGCCCCUUAUGACCUGGGCUACACACGUGCUACAAUGGAUGGUACAAAGAGCCCGCAAACCCGCGAGGGCAAGCUAAUCUCAUAAAGCCAUUCUCAGUUCGGAUUGCAGGCUGCAACUCGCCUGCAUGAAGCCGGAAUCGCUAGUAAUCGCGGAUCAGCAUGCCGCGGUGAAUACGUUCCCGGGCCUUGUACACACCGCCCGUCACACCACGAGAGUUUGUAACACCCGAAGU